rnacentral:misc_RNA from 1 species
AGGCCUUUUUUUUUCCAUGAAACAUAGGAAAUUAGAUAAUAUUGGAUUUUCUAUCUGAUGUUUUAUAUUAUGGACAAGUGCGAGGGAAAAUAAACAAUUGGAGCAAGAAGGAUUUAAGUUUUGUGUCUGUUUUAUUUUUGAACUUCCUGCCAAAUAUGGAUUUGCAGCUUCAUCUCUAAUUGUUUGAGCCAACUGAAAAUUGUUUAUUUCUUUCCUGCCUCAAAUUAAGUGAUUGUAGGGAUGAGAUGGCAUUAUCUAAUGAUGUUCGGCCUCGGAAGCCUGCACAUGUGUUUGAAUAUCAAAAAGUUAUCCAUGAUCAUGUGGUUCGGUGCAACUAAGUUUUGUUUUUGAACCAAUAAUGCAUAAGUUAUGAGGUGGUCCAUACGCAGCAACAUUUUAAAUUGCAGUUGUGGAUGAUUGUUGCAUAACUGGGCUGUUGCAGACACAAGUGUCAUAGCACAAUGCCUAGUUCCGAUCCAAUCAAUGAAGUUAAUAUGUGAACGUAAAAUGCUCAAAAUUAUAAAUUUUGUGGUUAUAUUUGUUAUUGCAUGAUGAACUCAAAUACAAAUUAAUUUGACAAAAAAU